rnacentral:misc_RNA from 1 species
AAGUCGUAACAAGGUAUCCGUAUGGGAACCUGCGGAUGGAUCAUUAUCUAGCCUAGUAGACAAGGCAAAGGACACUCGAAUGAGAGUGGUCGAUGCUGGUGCAGACACCAGAGCUUGUUGUUUGCCCAAAUCCAACUGGAUUGAGCAAGCGAGACGAGCCUAGUGCGUCACACAAUCGUGUGUACGUACAAACAAACACACCACACACAACACAACAAGCGUGAUGCGUACGGCUUCACGUGUAGUACAAGUUGUCGUGUGCGUGUGCACCCUCCAUACAUACAACAUACAACAGUAGUAUGUGUAUACAACAAUCAAAACACACUCCUAGCCGGGGAUCACUUGGCUGACGG